UGUAUUAUUACUUAACCACUC
ensembl:piRNA 21ur-3558 ncRNA